UACGUAGGUGGCAAGCGUUGUCCGGAUUUACUGGGCGUAAAGGGCGUGCAGGCGGUCUGUUAAGUCUAGGGUGAAAGCUCCCGGCUCAACUGGGAGAGGUCCUUGGAUACUGGCGGACUUGAGGGAGGCAGAGGAGAAUAGAAUUCCCGGUGUAGUGGUGAUAUGCGUAGAUAUCGGGAGGAACACCAGUGGCGAAGGCGACUACCUGGCCUGUUUCUUGACGCUGAGGCGCGAAAGCUAGGGGAGCAAACGGG
rnacentral:rRNA from 1 species